rnacentral:rRNA from 1 species
AGCGAACGCUGGCGGCAGGCUUAACACAUGCAAGUCGAACGGGCGUAGCAAAUACGUCAGUGGCAGACGGGUGAGUAACGCGUGGGAACGUACCUUUUGGUUCGGAACAACCCAGGGAAACUUGGGCUAAUACCGGAUAAGCCCUUACGGGGAAAGAUUUAUCGCCGAAAGAUCGGCCCGCGUCUGAUUAGCUAGUUGGUGAGGUAACGGCUCACCAAGGCGACGAUCAGUAGCUGGUCUGAGAGGANGAUCAGCCAC